GUUAUGGUCGAUGAAAUUGUCGCUUUAUUUUCGUCGUGGAGUCGAGUAAUAUAUACUGAUAAAAAUAUUGUGGUAUAAAAAUAGGAUGAGUGCCAACUAUAGAAAAAAGAGGUGGAAAAAAUAUUAGAUAAGUUGUCCGAUAGUGAAGACGGUUUAGAUAUCGAUGACGAUGAUGGCAAUGAUGACCCUGAUUUUCAACCAGAGAAAUUAUUGAAUAGAAAUUUUGAUCGUCACAGUGAUUCAGAUUCUGAUGACAAUGACAACAGACUAAAUAGUCCAGAAAAUGAGGGAGAGGUUGAGACACAUAACUGUGAGCCGGAACUUCUAGUGGGAACGCCGGAAAAACCCAAAGAAAAAAAAUCUGAUGAUAUUGCUUGGAAGAAAAAAGGUUUGGCCCUGAAUGGAGAACAGCUGAAAUUUCAUGGUGGUACAUCAAUACCUAGGAACGUUUUGGAACUGGAAAAUCCAUAUGAAUUUUUCUUUUACCUAUUCACAGAAGAUCUUAUUCAUAAAAUAGUAAAUGAGACGAAUCUUUAUGCGAUUCAAAAAUAUGUCAGUAAAUCGAUAAAUAGCACGGCAAAUGAAAUGAAACGGUACAUUGGAAUUACAUUGUUCAUGUCAUUAGUGCAUCUUCCUAGCACUCGAGCCUAUUGGUCAGAUGAUUUGGCUUUCGAUGAAAUAAAAAAUACAAUGUCAGUGAACAGAUAUGAAAAAAUCAGAAGUGUUUUACAUUUCAACAAUAAUUAAACUGCUUUACCACGUGAAUAUCCAAAUCAUGACCGUAUUCAUAAAAUAAGACCAUUGCUGGAAGCUCUAAAAAUAAGUUUUUCCAAGGAGUUUCCCCUUGUGCAAUAUUUAUCGGUCGAUGAGCAAAUAUGUUCCUGUAAAGCAAAACAUUAUCUAAAACAGUAUUUGCCAAAAAACCUCGCAAAUGGGGAUUCAAAUUAUUCGUACUCUGUGGGGUGUCAGGCAAUGCUUAUAAUUUUGAAAUGAACACAGGCCAAGAAAAUGUAAUACUACCUAAUGAACCUGAUCUUGGGGCUUCAUCGAAUGUGGUUGCUCGACUAUGUAGGUUGGUUCCAUCAAAUAUGAAUUACAGAGUGUACUUUGAUAAUUAUUAUACAUCUGUUCCUUUUCUGG